CUGGGCUGGACUAUGGAGACUGGAACCUGGACUGGACUAUGGAGACUGGAACCUGGGCUGGACUAUGGAGACUGGAACCUGGGACCAGAAGCUGGAACUUGUAGCUGGACUUUGGAGUAUAGAACCCUAGGUUGGAGUAUGGAGCAGAGAGGAGUUCUGGUCAACGGUGGCCGAACCGCUGGUACCCACGAGGUAGCUCUGGAGACCUGAGACCAAGGUGGAGCUCUGGAGAACAAUGUCGAGGCCUGGAGAUCCACUGACGCAGCCCUGGAGAGCAGGAAGCCGGUUUGUGUCUCCAUGGAGCUCUGGCAAUGACGGCAGAGGUAGGUUCACCUGGACAGCCAUAUCAGAGAAUUGAGAUGAAUAACACGAAGCAACUUGUUCUGAAACCUUUGGAGAACUGGGAUCAGGAAAAGAAGGCUGGGAUGAAGAUUUAACAUGAGGUACUAAUGGUAGUGACGGAUCUGGAGCCAUUGAUGGCGGUGAUAAAGAUACUGGAUACUCUACAGAUAAAAGAACUAGAUUAGGCAAGACCUAAGUAGAAAAUUAUCACAUGAUUUAUUGGUCUUUCACAAAUGAAACACCAAUAAAUCAUGACACUAAUAGUGGAAUCAGACAUCUGUACAUCUCAUAUAUGAAGCAAGAAGGCUGAAAGGCCUUUCUUACCUUUGCUUGGUGUGUGGGGCAUACAGCUGUCAUGGAGAUCAAUUUUAGUAUCAGAUGUCUGUAAGCCAUACAUCCCAGGUAGUGAGAAUAGUUUGGAAUUUAGUGUCUGUUCAGCACAUGUGGGGCAUACAGAUGUGAGGUUCCUCCAUUGACCUCCAUUGUAAUGAGUCUGGGUUGGUGUUUUUUGCUAUUGCCUGAUAUGUGGAGCUUACUGUUAUCAUGGUUUUUUUAUGCUAGGACAAAAGAUCUGUAUGCCCCACAUGGCAGGCAAAGAGUCAGGGUGAGCUUUCAAUGUUCUUGCCCGACAUGUGGUGCUUACAGAUGUCUGGUUGCUCCAUUUGCCACCAUGAUAUCUUUAUGCUCACAUGCUAGGGAAUGAGCCUGAGUGGGUAUUUCAAGCUGUUCAAAUGUUUUGUGUUCUUGUCUGGUAUGUGUGGGCAGACAGAUGUUAUUGUUACCCAAUAUUCUUUCAAGAUAUUUGUACACCC